rnacentral:rRNA from 1 species
AUACGUAGGGUGCGAGCGUUGUCCGGAAUUACUGGGCGUAAAGAGCUCGUAGGUGGUUUGUCGCGUCGUCUGUGAAAUUCCGGGGCUUAACUCCGGGCGUGCAGGCGAUACGGGCAUAACUUGAGUACUGUAGGGGAGACUGGAAUUCCUGGCGUAGCGGUGAAAUGCGCAGAUAUCAGGAGGAACACCGGUGGCGAAGGCGGGUCUCUGGGCAGUAACUGACGCUGAGGAGCGAAAGCAUGGGUAGCGAACAGGAUUAGAUACCCUGGUAGUCCAUGCCGUAAACGGUGGGCGCUAGGUGUAGGGGUCUUCCACGACUUCUGUGCCGUAGCUAACGCAUUAAGCGCCCCGCCUGGGGAGUACGGCCGCAAGGCUAAAACUCAAAUGAAUUGACGGGG